AUUGAACGCUGGCGGCAUGCUUUACACAUGCAAGUCGAACGGCAGCGCGGGCUUCGGCCUGGCGGCGAGUGGCGAACGGGUGAGUAAUACAUCGGAACGUGCCCAGUAGUGGGGGAUAGCUCGGCGAAAGCCGGAUUAAUACCGCAUACGACCUGAGGGUGAAAGCGGGGGAUCUUCGGACCUCGCGCUAUUGGAGCGGCCGAUGGCAGAUUAGCUAGUUGGUGGGGUAAAGGCCUACCAAGGCGACGAUCGGUAGCUGGUCUGAGAGGACGACCAGCCACACUGGGACUGAGACACGGCCCAGACUCCUACGGGAGGCAGCAGUGGGGAAUGUUGGACAAUGGGCGAAAGCCUGAUCCAGCAAUGCCGCGUGUGUGAUGAAGGCCUUCGGGUUGUAAAGCACUUUUGGCGGGAACGAAAAGGACUGUGCCAAUACCACGGUUCGAUGACGGUACCCGCAGAAUAAGCACCGGCUAACUACGUG
rnacentral:rRNA from 1 species